CUUACGUAACUUACACGAGGGUAGAGCUCUUAUUUCUGUGAUUGACACUGGAUCCCCGGGGCACAGCAUGGUGCCUGGGCCACAGUGGGUGCUCAGGAAAUAAAUGCGGGUGGGGUGGAAUGCUGCUGAACGAAUGCCCGAAGAGAGAACUGGUCAAGAGUGAGGAUGGAUGAAGGUUCAAAAGAUGAUGGUGAUGAUUUGGCUUCACAGGCCUCAGGAAACCUCAUGGCCAACACGGCCUCCUCCGUGUCCUGACUACGCUCGGCAGGACUGGGGAGCAGGCGUGAGCACUGACAUCACAGACAGCAACGGGCUCCUGCCCCCGGAGGACCGGCCAUCUGCUCUGAGCAGCAUCUCCAAACUGCCCUGUGGGGACCUUGCCCAGGCCAGACCCUGGGAGGCCAGCUGCCCCAGCACCUUCACCAUCCUGCCUCUGUUCUACCACAACCAUAGUGACCUUGAGAAGCAGAGGGCUCUGUGGUGACCUGCACCGCCCAUGCACGGCUGGGGAGGUGGAUGCACAAACCAGCAACGAUCCUGCAAGAGGCGCCAAGAGGGGGUUAUGAAGAGGGUAGCUCGGGGAGUUCCCAUUGUGGUGCAGCGGAAGUGAAUCCGACUAGGAACCAUGAGGUUGCAGGUUCGAUCCCUGGCCUCACUCAGUGGGUUAAGGAUCCGGCGUUGCCAUGAGCUGUGGUGUAGGUCGCAGACAUGGCUCGGAUCCCACAGUGCCAUGGCUGUGGCAUAGGCCGGCAGCUACAGCUCCAAUUCGACCCCUAGCCUGGGAACCUCCAUAUGCCUCGGGUGCGGCCCUAAAAAGACAAAAGACAAAAACAAAAACAAAAACAAAAACAAACUAACAAAAAAGAGGGUAACUUGGGAGGGAGCAGGUCCACGCUUUCCAGAUGGACAGGGGGCUGCUGAGGAAGUCACAGACAGCAAGCGACAUCUGAGCUGGAUGAGUAAGAGUUUGCCAGGUCCUCGAGAUGCAGGAGAGAGAACGUUAAAGGGACGUGCACCUGCGUGAAAGCGCACAUCCUUACACAGCAGAGUGUACAUUUCAACAUCACUGCCUCUCAAAUCCCACGAUGGUGUUAUUACCUACCGCCCCCACCCCCACCCCCC
rnacentral:lncRNA from 1 species